rnacentral:lncRNA from 1 species
CCAUUUGGGCAUGCAUAAACACAAGUGUCCUCUGAACUUGAUCAUGUAUGUCAUACAAAAAAUUCCAGCAAAUUAAAAUGCACACAUAACAACUCAAAACACUGCUAGCAACAUCUUUUGCAAUGAUUAAUAUUUGAAACCCAUAAACCAUCAUUUUCCCAACUUUAUAGUGUUUAAAAUUGGACGCCGAGAGGAACAGGGUUCAGGAGGAAGACGUCAGCAGGGCUCUGAAGUUCAGAUUGGUCGCGGGAAGAAAGUCCGCACCGCAAGUUGGGUUUCUUGACAACGUCGACCGCUGUAGUUGGAAUCCAGGGAAACAUGCUCCUCUGACAGAGACAAAAAAUCAAAAGAAUUAGUGUUCCUAGCUUACAGUACUUGUUCACAUAGUUCAUGAGAUAAAAGAACUAGCACUCAUGGAAAAAUGGAAAGUUCAUGGGUAGCAGAGGGAGCAGGUCGGCAUAGCAGCAGGUGGGCGUCACUUUUUUGAGGAGUGCAUGUUGCUGCAGGAAGGAGGAGCCACCGCCGGCUCCGUCGAAGAAGGUCGAUGGGGAGGUGCUGGGACACACACUCACCAAAGUCGAGGAGCACAUGGGAGCCAGAG